AUUGGACGCUGUCGGCAGGGCUAACACAUGCGAGUCUAGUGGAUUAAGUGAGCUUGCUCCUGUUUUUAGCGGCGUACGGGUGAGUAAUGCCUAGGAAUCUUCCUGGUAAGGGGGGAUAACGUCCGUAAACGGGCGCUAAUACCGCAUACGUCCUGGCUUACAAAGGCUGGGACCUUCGGACCUCACGCUUUCACAUGAGCCUACCCCAGAUUAGCUAGUUGGUGGGGAAAAGGCCUACCUAGGCGCCGAUCCGUAACUGGUCGGACAGGAUGAUAAGUCACACUGGAACGGAGCAACGGCCCAGACUACUACGGGAGGCAGCAGUGGGGAAUAUUGGAUCGUGCGCGCAGGCCUGCUACAACCAUGCCGAGUGUGUGAAGAAGGUCUUCGGAUUGUAACGCACUCUCAGUUGGGCGCAAGGGCAGUAAGUUAAUAUCUUGCUGUUUUGACGUUCCCAACAGAAUAAGCACCGGCUAACUUCGUG
rnacentral:rRNA from 1 species